AGUUUGAUCCUGGCUCAGGACGAACGCUGGCGGCAGGCUUAACACAUGCAAGUCGAGCGAAGACUUCGGUCUUAGCGGCAGACGGGUGAGUAACGCGUGGGAAUCUACCCAACUCUACGGAAUAGCUCCGGGAAACUGGAAUUAAUACCGUAUACGCCUUCGGGGGAAAGAUUUAUCGGAGUUGGAUGAGCCCGCGUUGGAUUAGCUAGUUGGUGGGGUAAAAGCCUACCAAGGCGACGAUCCAUAGCUGGUCUGAGAGGAUGAUCAGCCACAUUGGGACUGAGACACGGCCCAAACUCCUACGGGAGGCAGCAGUGGGGAAUAUUGGACAAUGGGCGCAAGCCUGAUCCAGCCAUGCCGCGUGAGUGAUGAAGGCCCUAGGGUUGUAAAGCUCUUUCAACGGUGAAGAUAAUGACGGUAACCGUAGAAGAAGCCCCGGCUAACUUCGUGCCAGCAGCCGCGGUAAUACGAAGGGGGCUAGCGUUGUUCGGAAUUACUGGGCGUAAAGCGCGCGUAGGCGGAUCGGUUAGUUGGGGGUGAAAUCCCAGGGCUCAACCCUGGAACUGCCUCCAAUACUGCCGGUCUAGAGUUCGAGAGAGNUGAGUGGAAUUCCGAGUGUAGAGGUGAAAUUCGUAGAUAUUCGGAGGAACACCAGUGGCGAAGGCGGCUCACUGGCUCGAUACUGACGCUGAGGUGCGAAAGGGAAUUCGUAGAUAUUAGGAAGAACACCAGUGGCGAAGGCGGCUCACUGGCUCGGUACA
rnacentral:rRNA from 1 species